CUGUUAAAGGGGUUGUCCCACAAAAAAUAUUCUACAUUCUUCAAACCAGCACCUGGAUCUGAAUAGUUUUGUAACUGCAUGUAUUCAAAAAUGUAGUAUAGAUUUUCAAUAGAAUGGACCUUUUCGGC